rnacentral:rRNA from 1 species
GAUGAACGCUAGCUACAGGCUUAACACAUGCAAGUCGAGGGGAAACGACAUCGAAAGCUUGCUUUUGAUGGGCGUCGACCGGCGCACGGGUGAGUAACGCGUAUCCAACCUGCCCACCACUUGGGGAUAACCUUGCGAAAGUAAGACUAAUACCCGAUGAUAUCUCUAGAAGACAUCUGAAAGGGAUUAAAGAUUUAUCGGUGAUGGAUGGGGAUGCGUCUGAUUAGCUUGUUGGCGGGGUAACGGCCCACCAAGGCAACGAUCAGUAGGGGUUCUGAGAGGAAGGUCCCCCACAUUGGAACUGAGACACGGUCCAAACUCCUACGGGAGGCAGCAGUGAGGAAUAUUGGUCAAAUGGGCGAGAGCCUGAACCAGCCAAGUAGCGUGCAGGAUGACGGCCCUAUGGGUUGUAAACUGCUUUAUAGGGGGAUAAAGUGUGCCACGUGUGGCAUAUUGCAGGUACCCUAUGAAUAAGGACCGGCUAAUUCCGUGCCAGCAGCCGACGG